CUGCAGCCUGGGAAAGAAAGUGAGACCCUGUCUCCAAAAAUAACAAAAAAUAAAAAACCUAAUAAAAACAAAAUAUGGGCCGGGUGCAGUGGCUCACACCUGUAAUCCCAGCACUUUGGGAGGCCAAGGCGGCAGAUCACCUGAAGUCAGGAGUUCAAGACCAGCCUGGCCAACAUGGCAAAACCCCAUCUAUACUAAAAAUACAAAAAUUAGCUGAGUGUGGUGGCACACGCCUGUAAUCCCAGCUACUUGGGAGGCUGUGGCAGAACUGCUUGAACCCGGGAGGUGGAGGUUGCAGUGAACUGAGAUCAUGCCACUGCACUCCAGCCUGUGUGAUACAGUGAGAUUCCAUAUCAAAACAAACAAACAAACAAAUAUGGUACAUAAACAUCAUGACAUCAUGAAAUACUGUGUGGCCAUUAAAAAAAAAAAAAAGAGUAUGUCCUUUGCAGCAACAUGGAUGAAGCUGGAGAUCACUAUUCUUAGAAAACUGAUACAGAAACAGAAAACCAAAUGCAUGUUAUUAUUUAUAAGUAAGAGAUAAAUAAGAACACAUGAACACAGAGGGGAAAAAAGACACUGAGGCCUAGUUGAGGGUGGGAGGACUAAAAGGGUCAGAAAAAGUACAUUUUUGGUGCUAUGAUUAGUACUGCAGUGACAAAAUAAUCUCCACACCAAACUCCCAUGACACAAUUUUAGCUGUAUAACAAAGCUGCACAUGUACCCCUGAACCACCCAAAAAUAAAAGUUAAAAGAAAAAAAUCCCUCGAUUGGAGAGAGUGCAAUGCAGGUGGAAGGACUGGUUUGUGCUAUAGAUAGUGGCCCAGGUGGGGCUGUACUCUGAUUCAUUUCUGGGUCCAUGCAGCCAGAUAAGAUUAUGAAUCCUAGGCUGGUGGAGAAAACAGGAUGCUACUGCAGAUUCCGUGUCUGAAAAUAGGGAUAUGCCAGGAGACUUGUAGACACUUUUGUAGGUUUUUGGCCAAAAAAACCACUAGGAUCAAAAAUGCUGUGGUAAAAUUCCUGAGGGUGGUGCCUUGUCCAGAGAGGGGUGUGGACACAUCAAUGUCUAGUGGGUGUUUGUGAGUGGGUGGAAAUCCUCUGCUGGCAGCUGUGGCAAAAGGGGGUUUGUCAUCAGAUCUCCUUUAAGUUUUCAGUCUUCUGUCACCCUGGGAGGAGACCAUUUCUAGGCUUCCAGGGGGUCCUGGCGACUUAGUUGUGGAUCUCCCAAUACCUGCAGGUCAUAGGGCCACAGAGGCUGGGACUCUAGGAACAGUAAGGACAAGGCCUUUACCUCCGGCUGCAGCGAGAGACAAAGGACCGACCACAUCCCGGAAGCCGACCU
rnacentral:lncRNA from 10 species